GGGCACCUGCUGGGCUAUAAAUGAUUGUACUGUACUCCUCAGAUUGUGAUUGCUACCCCUGGGCGUUUGAUUGAUGUGCUGGAGAACCGCUACCUGGUGCUGAGCCGCUGUACCUAUGUGGUUCUGGAUGAGGCAGAUAGGAUGAUUGACAUGGGCUUUGAGCCAGAUGUCCAGAAGAUCCUGGAGCACAUGCCUGUCAGCAACCAGAAGCCAGACACGGAUGAGGCUGAGGACCCUGAGAAGAUGCUGGCCAACUUUGAGUCGGGAAAACAUAAGUACCGCCAAACAGUCAUGUUCACGGCCACCAUGCCCCCAGCGGUGGAGCGUCUGGCCAGG
rnacentral:sRNA from 1 species